CCAUUCCACAAAGUUCUUCUUCAGCAUGUUAUCCAUUGUGCGGCUGUAAUCACUUGCCAGGGUGGCCUCAGAGUAGCGUUUUUGCACAGGUCUGGCACUGGGAGUCCUUAUACUUAUGCUACAGUAAGAGUACAGAUAGAGUGAUUGUUCCUGCACUGUGAAGUGAAGAGUUAACUGAGAAGCAGCUAGUGAUCUCAUCCAUUUAUCUGGCUGCUAACACAUUUGCUGCUCACAUUUGACAUCUCAGGAGGAGAUGAACUUGGGAUAUUUGCUGAUGUCUGGAGUCAGAGUAGCUUUUCUGCCAUAGCCUGAUGGAUAUAGACUUUGACUAAGUGAGAAGACACUGAGUAUACUCAGAUUCCCUUCUCUAGUGAGCUGCACACACAGGGCCGAGGGAAUCUUCCUGUGUCCUCAAGAGCCUGAGGGGUGGACAGCAGGAGACAAGGUCCAGAACUUGAAGCCAGUGCUGGUCUGACAGUGUAGACGUACUUGGUGGCUAGCUAAGUUAGCAAAAGAUAUCAAGACUGACCUUUUUUUUAGUGUUAUUAUCUGGAAUUGCAGCAACUCUUGCUGCUCUAAUAGGGUUUCUUUUAGAUCUUCUCAUGUGGUAGUUGGAAGAAUCAGAGAAAGAGAUGGAAAGUCUUUAUGUACCUGCUUCACGUAACUGGCCACAUUUUCAGAAGCUUUGAAAUAUCAGAUGCCCCCUAGCCUUAUUCAUGGGAGACAAUUACAUUUUGUUUCUAUUUCCCAGCCAACCUUCACUUCCUGGUUGACUUCCAGCUUGUUACUCCCAACCUGGAGCAAUGUAGUUUUUAGGGAAAACUUGGGAGUUCUUGGCUCUGGCUCACAGGCUUUAAUUUGAGACCUCUCUUAUCAUUUGCUCAUCUCUGUAUGCUUUGCUGUCUUUCUAUUAUCCAAGAGCUACCUCAGGACUUAUGUUCUCAUCUAUUUACCAAGAUGCCAAGGGAAAUAGUCUACUUGCCUCCAGUAGGAAGCUGGAAAAGGCUCAAAAUACAUUGUGGGCUUUCCAAAACACUUACCCUGAGACGUUCUCUUCCAUCAAAACAAAGCUCAAAGAAGCAAAAAGCAGAGAAAGAACUUUCAAAGACAUCAUUUUCUUGGCUGAUUUCUCUGUUCAGAAGCAGAGGGCAAUCCAGAUGCCUGGCCCCUGGGAUACAUAAGUGAAUGACAGUGAACCCAGAGAGCUGGGCAAUGGUUAGGCAUGUGCCUGUGCUUGUAAACAUGUUUCUUUCCUUGUCCUUGUGCUCAGAACAGCCUUCUCCAACCUACAAAGCUCUCCUUUGCUAUUCACAGUUAAGUUACUUUUUCAAUAACAAUGCUCUUUCACCACAGUGGUGUUUUUUAACGUCUGUGAUUUGCACACUCGUGGAGGCAAGGACAUUGUAUUGUUCCACAUUUACAAGCUGACCCUGUGGGUACCUCAUUGUGCUUUAAGGGUCAAUUCAGUCUUAAGUAUGCGAACAAGAACACGCAUUGGAUCAGGCAAUUCAAGAGCAAACAGGAGUUACAUCGCAUCCUGCUUAUCCCAUACUGCAGUUCUGCAGGAUUUAGCAGCCUGAUCUAAUUCCUGGGAAACUUUCUGUAGGGAUGGAUAAUGCCUUAUGUCAGGACUGAUGCCAGAGUCAGUGAAUAUCUGUUAUGAAAAAAUAUCUCAGGAUAGUGACGAGAUCAAAUUCCAAGAUUUAUUAGUUUCAAGCUGUUCCUAGUCCUCAUGUCCACAGUUCAGCUCGGUAGACCUUGGACAUUUGAGGACAAAUUGGACAAAUAACUAUUCCAGCUCUGCAAAUUCUGUACAAAAAUGGUUUUGAUCAAGGCUCUCACCUCACUCUUUGUUAUUAAUAUUUAGGGAAUGUGCAUUGCACUGGAGAACUACUGUUAACAGGCGUAAUAUAGUAAAGAAGUCUAGAUCAGGACUUAGAUAUCCUUCAAAAAUUCAUUCAUACAUUAGUGAAACUUUACUCAUAAGUAGCAAUUUGCAUUCUUACAACUGCCCAAUUAUUAUUCUGGAGAAAAGAAUUUGUAAGUUUGGAUGUUGUUCGUAACUGAGACUUUUCUGUUUGUUUGUUUCUGGGAAGACUGACUUUUUUUUUUUUACAAAUGUUUUGGCCUGAUAUAGGCUAAAUACUAAAUGUGUUACAUUAUCUCAGAGAUAUCAAAUCGAGAGAAAUACUUUUAAAAUCAAAGGUGUUAUAUAUUGAACAAUGGCAAAACCCAUGAAAUAUUUACAGCUAAAGCAGUAAGAGGCAAAUAGUUAUAGAGUGUAUUAAUAGGAAAAGUAGGUUUCAUUAUACAAAAAGCCAAGGAGUAUUUUAAAUUAAAGUUGAGAAAAGUGUCAUGAUUAAAUAAGAAGUUUUCCCUCUUAUUUGCUAUUCAUUACAUAUAUUACUAUAGUUAUGAUGGUGAAUCUGAAAAUAGCUAAGUCAUUCAAGAAUAUUGUUCUGCUUAAGAUAAUUAUUUAUGAAAAUAGGAGAGGACAUAUACUGUAGCCUUAAUUUUAAGAAAGGGUAGCACUUAUUCUCUGCAGAAUUUAUCUAAGCAGCAAGGAAAAACAGUCUGCAUUUCUGGAGAUUGUAGAGAAACCAUUCCUGAAUUAAUACAAGACCCCUUUGCCUGUAUGAUACUCAAAUCAAGCUUAGUUAGUCCCACCUGGUGUGUCAUUACUGCUAACUGUAGCUGUCGUUACACUGUUUUGAUUUUACAAUUUGACUCCUUCACAAAAGGAAGAGUAAUAUCUACCUGUGGGAUCUUUACUAGGGGAAGGUCUUCAAAUCCCGUGUGCAAUACUAUCUGCUUUGAAAGAAGAGUUAUCCCUGUUUUAUUCAUAGCUGAAAGGAUACAAAAAGCAGCUAACAACCAAUUUCUCAUCAUUUCCCUGUGUAGGAUAUGUUUAAAGGGGCAGAUCCCAGCCUGAGGCUUGCCAUGUACUGAAUCCUCCUCUGAAAUAACGGUCUUUCCCUUUACAACAUGAUGUGUACUGCUGUAGUUCUUUUCCACCAAACCUAUCAAGGAAAUUGCUAGUCGUACACCACUUUAGGAAAAACUCAGCCAAAGGUACAGCUUGUUCCUACUCUGCUAUAGAUACUGUCUGACACUGUCAAGCACUGCUCACUCUCAUCUUAGGAAAAAGAAUUAAAGAAAAAGAAAAAAGACUGAUAUAGAGCUUCUUACCUUUCUACUCCACUGAAGCUGCUCAGAAGAUUUCAACCAGUUCUAGUGCUUAGAGGAGACCCUUCAGAGCCUUUAUAAACAUUAGCAGUGUGGGACCAAACCCACUUCCAUGAGGAAAACAGGAAAUCAAGCACCUAAUCAAAGUAGCUCAAGCCCACUUAGAUCUGCUUCAUUAGGUCCAUUGACCUGCAGAGCAGGAAAAUAACCUUUAAAAAUAUAUUUACAUUAAUGGCAAUUACACAUUAGUAUAUCACAAAAUCAAGAAUGAAUGAAUGUGUAUUGUGGACAUAAUGCAUAUGGUAUUGAUCUAAACCUUAAUUCCACAUAACACCUCCUUCCGCAGCAAAAGUUUUAUUAAUAUCCAUCUCUUCUUUUGAGAAGCACGAGUAUCAUCUUAGAGAGAUCCAGUUUGCUUCUUCUCUCUCUUAAAGUUCAAAUAACUGUGCUAAAACCAAGAGCUUCGAUUGUUAUUUUUGUCAUCAUCAGCAUUGAGUCUGGGCAACCUGACUGUGGUCUGCAAUUGCCUCAUGCAAACCUAGAUACUGAAAGCAGUAUCUACCCCCCAAAAUCUGUAAUCUAAGAGGACAAAAUUUGGGAUGGAUAGCAGCAGGCAGGAAGCUAUCAGGAAAUAGUGAGGCAGCAUUGGUUAACGAGAUGGAGGGUGGUGGCACAGCAACAGCCUAUAUGGGAUCAAGGAUGGCAGCAAAGUUAACCUGAAGCACAGCAACUAUUUUGACUCCUGUCCUGAAGAAGUGCUUUAUUAUGGUUCUGUAGCUGCUAGGGGUAUGUGUCAGUAAGGUAACUGCUUCAUCUUGCCCUUGUACAGCUGGAUUUAGGAGAGCAGAUGUACCCCAGAUGUUAAUUACACCAUUAAAGUGUAAGGGGUUAAACCCCACUCCCACCAGUUCCGCUGCAAUCCUAUGCCUGGUAAGAUGUUCUCUGUGGUGUCUGACCUGCCCUAUCCAACCCAAGUCCUAUCUGGGAGGAGAACUGGGCCUACUGCAUUUUAGUAUGUGAGUUCUGGUUGGGGGCUGCUCCAGGGGUGUCUCAGCUACUCCAGGAUCCUUGUUGCACCCAGGUUUAAUCUGUUGAAGGAACAGAGAAGGAUUAUUUUUGUGCUAUUUUAACACACAAGCUAAGCUCUAUUUGCAUCUUUCCUGAAGCAGUGCCUGUGGCUGGUUGUGCUGACUUGUAAAACAUAGUCCUGUCUGUGGCUUAGUUUCCCUAAGCUGCCUGGACUUUUACAGGAGGUUAUCCAAGUUACAACCUUCCCCUCAGGUCUGCCAGCACUUGUUUAUGGAGUUCAGCUGAGCUGCUUGGAGCAGUAACCCUGCACACCUGGAUUUAGGAGGGAUACGUGUGCCUAUUCUCCUGGACUUGGGCUGGCUUAGCUACAUCAUGGAUUUGUGCAUGAAAUAAGUAGACUUCCUUGUUGGGCUGUGCAAGAAGCAGGCCUUAGUGGAAAUGCAGUAAUAAUGGCAAAAUUGAAGUGUAUCAAUGAUUUCAGUGUGGGAGAGGGUUUCACUGUGCUAGCACAGUGUCCAUGACGUAACUUGUCCUGAACAAAUGCAGAAAUCCAGCAUGAUUGAGGUACGUGUCUCUGUGUAAAGCUUCCUACUUUGAAAUUCCUUCCUGAAACAUACUUUUUCUGCCCCCUACCCCCCCACUGCCCCUUUUUAAAACAAAUAGAAUCAUAGAAUACCCUGAGUUGGAAGGGGUCCAUGAGAAUCAUGGAGUCCAGUUCCUAGGUCCUCAAAAGACCACCCAAAAAAAUCAGACUAUGUAUCUGAGAGCAUUGUCCAAACACUUCUUGAAUUCUGUCAGGCUUGGUGCUGUGACAGCUUCCCUUUGGAAAAACUGAGAAAUCUUGUUGAGAAAUGCUGCUGUGACACACUAUCAGGCAUAGGUUUGCUUCAACCACCACCUGUCUUCCUACACCAGGAGUGCACAGAGUGCAGAAUGAGCAUGCAUCCAGCUUACUGCAGCCCUCCUUGGCAGAGCAGAACUCUUGCUACUCUGUAGUUACACAGCUCCCUGGCACAACCAGCCUCCUGGGCAAAAAGUCUUGUGUCUCUAUUACAUUAAGAUAAAGGAUCAGAAGGAUAUUUUUAGGGUAGAUUGAGAUUUCAGUGCUAUUAGGGAGUAAUUAUUACGUUCACAGGAACUACUUAACAUUUACUUUAAUCCUCUAUUAGUACACAAGCAUGCCAGUGUGUUCAAAAGCUUUUCAUCCAUGCAAAAACGUCAUGCCUACUGUACUAAAUGAUGUACUGUAAUAGUUACAAGUAAUCAAUUCACACUCCUAUCACAGUUGCUAAUCAAUAAAGUGGAGUAGUUUAACCUGGCAGCUUUAUUAUAUGUAUUCUAGGUACUUCACUCCUAGCCAACUUGGGUAUCUUGUGUCUCCAAAGUAUAACCUAUUUGUUUUCCUCUCAUUUACUGCCUCUGUAUGAUGUGAAGUUAAUAGAGUGAAAUAAAUAUCCAGCAACAUUAAAUGUUGA